GGAAGAGUGUCCGAGUGGUUUAAGGAACUGGUCUUGAAAACCAGCGAGGGUGCAAGCUCUCCGUGGGUUCGAAUCCCACCUCUUCCGCCA
rnacentral:tRNA from 2 species